GACGAACGCUGGCGGCGUGCCUAAUACAUGCAAGUCGAACGCUUUUUCUUUCACCGGAGCUUGCUCCACCGAAAGAAAAAGAGUGGCGAACGGGUGAGUAACACGUGGGUAACCUGCCCAUCAGAAGGGGAUAACACUUGGAAACAGGUGCUAAUACCGUAUAACACUAUCUUCCGCAUGGAAGAAAGUUGAAAGGCGCUUUUGCGUCACUGAUGGAUGGACCCGCGGUGCAUUAGCUAGUUGGUGAGGUAACGGCUCACCAAGGCAACGAUGCAUAGCCGACCUGAGAGGGUGAUCGGCCACACUGGGACUGAGACACGGCCCAGACUCCUACGGGAGGCAGCAGUAGGGAAUCUUCGGCAAUGGACGAAAGUCUGACCGAGCAACGCCGCGUGAGUGAAGAAGGUUUUCGGAUCGUAAAACUCUGUUGUUAGAGAAGAACAAGGAUGAGAGUAGAACGUUCAUCCCUUGACGGUAUCCAACCAGAAAGCCACGGCUAACUACGUGCCAGCCGCCGCCGUAA
rnacentral:rRNA from 1 species